rnacentral:rRNA from 1 species
CGCGGUAUUUUGACCGUGCAAAGGUAGCAUAAUAAUUAGUUUUUUAAUUGGAAGCUGGAAUGAAUGGUUGGACGAGAAAACUACUGUCUCUGAUUGAUUUUAAUAAAAAUUUAUUUUUAAGUAAAAAAGCUUAAAUUUUGAUUAAAGACGAGAAGACCCUAUAGAGUUUUAUAUAUAAACGAAUAUUUUAUUUUAUGUAUUUUUUGGUUGGUUUUUGUUUAUUUAUUUUAUUGGGGUGAUGAAAAGAUUUGAUUAACUCUUUUUUUAUUUAAACAUUAGUUUUUGAUUUUUUGAUCCAAUAUUUUUGAUUACAAGAUUAAAUUACCUUAGGGAUAACAGCGUAAUUUUUUUGGAGAGUUCAUAUCGAUAAAAGGGAUUGCGACCUCGAUGUUGGAUUAAAGUUAAUUUUUGGUGCAGAAUUUAAAAAAUUGAGUCUGUUCGACUUUUAAAACUUUACAUGAUCUGAGUUUAAACCG